UACGAAGGGGGCUAGCGUUGUUCGGAAUCACUGGGCGUAAAGGGUGCGUAGGCGGGCUUUUAAGUCAGAGGUGAAAUCCUGGAGCUCAACUCCAGAACUGCCUUUGAUACUGAAAGUCUUGAGUAUGGGAGAGGUGAGUGGAAUUCCUGGUGUAGCGGUGAAAUGCGCAGAUAUCGGGAAGAACACCCGUGGCGAAGGCGGCUCUCUGGGACGGUACUGACGCUGAGACGCGAAAGCGUGGGGAGCGAACAGG
rnacentral:rRNA from 1 species